GCUCUGCCCGUCAGCACUCAGCUGUUGCUGCUGCUGCCUGGCCUUUUCCUGCUGCCUGCUCUGGAGCACCAACCCCAGCAGGAUGAGCACUGCUGCGCCAGUGGAGGUACUGUGCCAUUCCAGGGAGGAGGCAGCCUGCUUGAGCAGGCUGCAGCCAUGUGGCAAUGGAUGGUGUGGGACAGGAACCCCACUGUGAGAUUGUGCUGUCUCUUGCAGACUAACAGAGACACUGUGGUGGCGAUGGAAGUGGACAUGGUGCUGAAUGAGGAAGAGAUGAUGGAGGUGGACGUGGAAGACCAGGUUGAGGAGAUGGAAGUUGAUGAGGAGGAUGACAUCGAGGCGAUGGAAGUGGAUGAGAAGGAUGAGGAGGAGCCCAUGGUCCUUGGAUGAAGAUGGAGCCCCACAAGACUGAUGCAGAUGAUGGCUGUAGAUAUUACGGCGGUGUAUAUAUGUUUGAAAAGUUAGGAUAUUUUUGUAAAUAUGUUCUUAGGUUAGUAGUUCUUUGUAAAUAUGUUUUGAAGAUUGUUACUCCAUAGGAUCCCAUGGAAAUAUGUGCAGUAGAUUGUUGUUGUUGUUGUUAUGAGGAUUGUUGUAAUGAAAUGUGUUCUGUAAAUCCUCGUGUUUGCCGAUGUUCAGCAAAUAAAUAAUGAUUCUUUAUAAAA